rnacentral:lncRNA from 10 species
CAGGAAGUGCACAGGUAGGAAGCACGCUCUCUCGCUUCACUAAGAGUCUCUGUUUCCCCUUUUUUUCCUUUUUGCCGAGUAAAUCCCAUUUUUCUCACUCUUCGAAUCGUCUGCAAGCCUACAUUUUCGUGGCCAUGUGACAAGGACCUCAUCUUUAGUUGACUUAAGGAGAAGUCCCCCAGCACUUGGGUCGUUUUCUUUGAUGUUGGCUUUUACAUAAAGGUAUGUAUCACUGAUUCUCAAAAGAGGAAAAUUAAGGAGUGUCAAAAAGAGAACGAGAGAGAAGCAGGAUGCUCUGGAGAAUGAAAUGGAGUUGCCACCAGUGCCAUUAUGGAGUGUGAAGUCACCAC